CUCGCGCAUCCUCGGUUCCCCAAUGCGCCGCCACCGCUCGCCGACGUGCAGUCCAACGCCGGCCGCCUCCGCCGCCUCCACGCAAACUUCUUCUUGGUCCCCUCCACCGUAUCCCUACCCGCACCCCGCCUUUCCGCCCCUGAGCGCGACGCCGCGCCUAACCCUAGCCGUCGGGUUCGUCACUGUCGCCGCCGCCGCUCCUCCGAGCCCCCGCGGGGGAGGGGGGGUACUAAGCGUGCAGAUCGGGGGCGCGGCGGCCGCGGUGCUGCGAGGUGUCAUCUCUCCUGAACAACAGCCGAGGAUGCCUGGGGCCGGCGCCGGCGUGCGGCGCCGAGGCCUCGCCGGGCCGCUACGUGCGCCGCCACGACGAGGUGACGCCAGACGACGACGGCUGCGACGACGUGUUCCGGGUCGCCGUGCGGGGGCCCGGGGACGACCCCUUCGACAUCCCAGCCAAGCGGGCGCCCGUCGAGCGGCUGCGCCGAUGGAGGCAAGCUGCACUUGUGCUCAAUGCUUCUCGGCGAUUCAGAUACUCUUGACUUGAAAAAAGAGGAAGAAAAAGAACAUAUAAGGAGGAAAAUUAGGGCUCAUGCUCAAGUCAUACGAGCUGCGUUACUUUUCAAGGAAGCAGGAGAAAAGCAGAAUGGCGAUAGAGAAUUACAAGCGAGAAGUUUUAUCAACAAGGCCUGGAGGAUUAGGCUUGCCAUGGACAUGGCAGCGAUAGUCAACCGCAGCCUUGCAUCGAUGCACCGGGCUUACUUCUCCGCUUCAGAUUUCACGGCACAUGGGCAACAGAUGACAAGCCGAUAAGAAUUUCAAUGGGGAACCCACCUAGAUUGGAACCAGCGGAAUAGGUUACACCAGUUCUGAGGGCCACUGCUUAUAACACCUAUCCAGCAAAAUGGGCAAUGCUCGGUUUUGUUCAAUUGGCCUCCUAUGAAGCCAUGGGAUAUUGUUAGGUCAAAAACAAAUAUCAAUAAGUUCAAAGAUUAAUUGUGGGCUGCAACUCAACAUAAAAAUAAACGGCGAACUGAUCGACUUAGUAAUUAAUUGUGGGCUGCAACUCAGCAUCAAAAUAAAUGAUGAACUGAUGGACUUAGUAAUUAAAUGUGUCACUGCAUUUAGUCAGUGGUUACGUCUAUGUUUUUAUGUUCAGAUUUCAUCUGUACUUAUAUGAGAAAGGGGAAACCCCUAUAGGUGAAAAUAGGUGUAAGAUUUAAUGUAAAUCAGAUACAUUGUUAAUAUAUAUGGAUUGGUUAACAUUUAGUUCAUGCAUAUUUAGACUUUUCCCAACAAAUAUUUGUCUCCCAUGUAAUGUUAACAAAAUUAUAUAAGGUUUAUGACAUUACACAAGAGCAAUAUAAUAUCCAUAAGAAUAUCUAUAUCCUCAAAUUUCAUCAUGUUGCAUUAACCCGUGCGCUGAAGCUGAUAUAACUGAGUACUUGAUACAUCAGGUCAAUUUUUGUAUUAAGUUAUCUACAGGUUAAUUUUUUGUUAUUGUUAGCUAAGUGUUCUUAUUUGAUAGGUUCAGAAACUAAGGGGAACAUGGUGAUUUUUUUCAAAGUAGACGGCCUAUCCAUGUUACAAAUUCAAUGUUCAUCACAUAAUUUAAACCUCUGUAAUCACCAUUGAUUUAAUCAUACUAGAAGGAUUAAACGCUGCAGGUUUUCAUCUACUGCAUCAAUAGUGCCGUGGCAUUUUCUUAUAUGGUCUCAUUAGAAAUCUGAUAAGAAAAUUAUGCCUCCACAGGUCUGAUUGAGUCUCCACAUACGUAUUGAAUUAGGUCUGAAGUUGCGUUUUGACGUCUCCUACGCCGCAGUGGUUUUGUACCCCACGUGCGGCACGUCUGCAGCCUCCUCUUUCUGCCCUACAACAACCGUCUACUUUCUGUCUUUCUAAGCCACGGUUAUUUUUUUCAGUCACAGUAAGGAUUUUGGAGACGGAAAGGAUUAGAAUUUGUGUGGUUAUUUAGGGAACCCACCGUUUUUAAAGUUGUGCACACAAUCACGUAAAACCACAGAGCCAUUUGGCAUUCGGAGAACUGAAUAAAAUUUCAUUUUUAGUUUCUGCUGCAUAAGGUUGUUGGACAGAUAUAGAUCUACAUGUGUAUGGCCAAUAUUUCGUUAAUAAGCAUAUAUUUGACAAAACUUAGCGUAUAUGGGCAUCAAAGCCAUACACAACAAAUCUCUAAAUAUUGUUUGCCUAUGUGUCCAUGAAUUACUGUAUGUAUACUUGCAUUAUUGGAAUCGAAGUGUGUUUGCAUUAAAGUGGACUACUUGCUUUACUCUAUUUUUUUGUCAGGAUAAAUUACUGGAACUGCUGGGAUUUGGAGUAGAUCUGCAUCUUCUUGUAGAGGAUCAUUGUCUUUUCCGGGUGCUGUACAAUUUAGGCAAACAAUAUUCCUCCUGGGCAUUGGGCUGCGAGUAGGCUGUGAAGAGACACAUGGGAUAGAAGCCACAAGCAAAUGGAAGCCAGUAUGAUGUGUGAUUGUGUUCCAGAUCUGCUUGAUGAACCCUGUUGGUUAGACAAGUAAGAUGGAAGCCAAUUAGAUGAACCAUGUUAGAUGAACCUUGUUGUGUAUUUUAUCUAAUGGUUUCAAACCAUGCUGUUCAUGAUGUGGAGAUGAACACUGUUGGUCAUGGAAGUUAAUUAGAUGCCUGGAUUGUGAAUCCUUGAAUGUUCAAAAUGUUGGUUUCAAACA